UUAAGUUAUUAAGGGCGCACGGUGGAUGCCUUGGCACUAGAAGCCGAUGAAGGACGUUACUAACGACGAUAUGCUUUGGGGAGCUGUAAGUAAGCUUUGAUCCAGAGAUUUCCGAAUGGGGAAACCCAGCAUGAGUUAUGUCAUGUUAUCGAUAUGUGAAUACAUAGCAUAUCAGAAGGCACACCCGGAGAACUGAAACAUCUUAGUACCCGGAGGAAGAGAAAGAAAAUUCGAUUCCCUUAGUAGCGGCGAGCGAAACGGGAAGAGCCCAAACCAACAAGCUUGCUUGUUGGGGUUGUAGGACACUCUGUACGGAGUUACAAAGGACGACAUUAGACGAAUCAUCUGGAAAGAUGAAUCAAAGAAGGUAAUAAUCCUGUAGUCGAAAAUGUUGUCUCUCUUGAGUGGAUCCUGAGUACGACGGAGCACGUGAAAUUCCGUCGGAAUCUGGGAGGACCAUCUCCUAAGGCUAAAUACUCUCUAGUGACCGAUAGUGAACCAGUACCGUGAGGGAAAGGUGAAAAGCACCCCGGAAGGGGAGUGAAAUAGAACCUGAAACCGUGUGCUUACAAGUAGUCAGAGCCCGUUAAUGGGUGAUGGCGUGCCUUUUGUAGAAUGAACCGGCGAGUUACGAUUUGAUGCAAGGUUAAGCAGUAAAUGUGGAGCCGUAGCGAAAGCGAGUCUGAAUAGGGCGUUUAGUAUUUGGUCGUAGACCCGAAACCAGGUGAUCUACCCUUGGUCAGGUUGAAGUUCAGGUAACACUGAAUGGAGGACCGAACCGACUUACGUUGAAAAGUGAGCGGAUGAACUGAGGGUAGCGGAGAAAUUCCAAUCGAACCUGGAGAUAGCUGGUUCUCUCCGAAAUAGCUUUAGGGCUAGCCUCAAGUGAUGAUUAUUGGAGGUAGAGCACUGUUUGGACGAGGGGCCCCUCUCGGGUUACCGAAUUCAGACAAACUCCGAAUGCCAAUUAAUUUAACUUGGGAGUCAGAACAUGGGUGAUAAGGUCCGUGUUCGAAAGGGAAACAGCCCAGACCACCAGCUAAGGUCCCAAAAUAUAUGUUAAGUGGAAAAGGAUGUGGCGUUGCCCAGACAACUAGGAUGUUGGCUUAGAAGCAGCCAUCAUUUAAAGAGUGCGUAAUAGCUCACUAGUCGAGUGACACUGCGCCGAAAAUGUACCGGGGCUAAACAUAUUACCGAAGCUGUGGAUUGUCCUUUGGACAAUGGUAGGAGAGCGUUCUAAGGGCGUUGAAGCAUGAUCGUAAGGACAUGUGGAGCGCUUAGAAGUGAGAAUGCCGGUGUGAGUAGCGAAAGACGGGUGAGAAUCCCGUCCACCGAUUGACUAAGGUUUCCAGAGGAAGGCUCGUCCGCUCUGGGUUAGUCGGGUCCUAAGCUGAGGCCGACAGGCGUAGGCGAUGGAUAACAGGUUGAUAUUCCUGUACCACCUAUAAUCGUUUUAAUCGAUGGGGGGACGCAGUAGGAUAGGCGAAGCGUGCGAUUGGAUUGCACGUCUAAGCAGUAAGGCUGAGUAUUAGGCAAAUCCGGUACUCGUUAAGGCUGAGCUGUGAUGGGGAGAAGACAUUGUGUCUUCGAGUCGUUGAUUUCACACUGCCGAGAAAAGCCUCUAGAUAGAAAAUAGGUGCCCGUACCGCAAACCGACACAGGUAGUCAAGAUGAGAAUUCUAAGGUGAGCGAGCGAACUCUCGUUAAGGAACUCGGCAAAAUGACCCCGUAACUUCGGGAGAAGGGGUGCUCUUUAGGGUUAACGCCCAGAAGAGCCGCAGUGAAUAGGCCCAAGCGACUGUUUAUCAAAAACACAGGUCUCUGCUAAACCGUAAGGUGAUGUAUAGGGGCUGACGCCUGCCCGGUGCUGGAAGGUUAAGAGGAGUGGUUAGCUUCUGCGAAGCUACGAAUCGAAGCCCCAGUAAACGGCGGCCGUAACUAUAACGGUCCUAAGGUAGCGAAAUUCCUUGUCGGGUAAGUUCCGACCCGCACGAAAGGCGUAACGAUUUGGGCACUGUCUCAACGAGAGACUCGGUGAAAUCAUAGUACCUGUGAAGAUGCAGGUUACCCGCGACAGGACGGAAAGACCCCGUGGAGCUUUACUGUAGCCUGAUAUUGAAAUUCGGCACAGCUUGUACAGGAUAGGUAGGAGCCUUUGAAACGUGAGCGCUAGCUUACGUGGAGGCGCUGGUGGGAUACUACCCUAGCUGUGUUGGCUUUCUAACCCGCACCACUUAUCGUGGUGGGAGACAGUGUCAGGCGGGCAGUUUGACUGGGGCGGUCGCCUCCUAAAAGGUAACGGAGGCGCUCAAAGGUUCCCUCAGAAUGGUUGGAAAUCAUUCAUAGAGUGUAAAGGCAUAAGGGAGCUUGACUGCGAGACCUACAAGUCGAGCAGGGUCGAAAGACGGACUUAGUGAUCCGGUGGUUCCGCAUGGAAGGGCCAUCGCUCAACGGAUAAAAGCUACCCCGGGGAUAACAGGCUUAUCUCCCCCAAGAGUUCACAUCGACGGGGAGGUUUGGCACCUCGAUGUCGGCUCAUCGCAUCCUGGGGCUGUAGUCGGUCCCAAGGGUUGGGCUGUUCGCCCAUUAAAGCGGUACGCGAGCUGGGUUCAGAACGUCGUGAGACAGUUCGGUCCCUAUCCGUUGUGGGCGUAGGAAAUUUGAGAGGAGCUGUCCUUAGUACGAGAGGACCGGGAUGGACAUACCUCUGGUGUACCAGUUGUCGUGCCAACGGCAUAGCUGGGUAGCUAUGUGUGGACGGGAUAAGUGCUGAAAGCAUCUAAGCAUGAAGCCCCCCUCAAGAUGAGAUUUCCCAACUUCGGUUAUAAGAUCCCUCAAAGAUGAUGAGGUUAAUAGGUUCGAGGUGGAAGCAUGGUGACAUGUGGAGCUGACGAAUACUAAUCGAUCGAAGACUUAAUCAA
rnacentral:rRNA from 1 species